rnacentral:rRNA from 1 species
GAUGAACGCUGGCGGCGUGCCUAAUACAUGCAAGUCGAGCGAACAGAUGAGGAGCUUGCUCCUCUGACGUUAGCGGCGGACGGGUGAGUAACACGUGGAUAACCUACCUAUAAGACUGGGAUAACUUCGGGAAACCGGAGCUAAUACCGGAUAAUAUAUUGAACCGCAUGGUUCAAUAGUGAAAUACGGUUUUGCUGUCACUUAUAGAUGGAUCCGCGCGGCAUUAGCUAGUUGGUAAGGUAACGGCUUACCAAGGCAACGAUGCGUAGCCGACCUGAGAGGGUGAUCGGCCACACUGGAACUGAGACACGGUCCAGACUCCUAAGGGAGGCAGCAGUAGGGAAUCUUCCGCAAUGGGCGAAAGCCUGACGGAGCAACGCCGCGUGAGUGAUGACGGUCUUCGGAUCGUAAAACUCUGUUAUUAGGGAAGAACAAAUGUGUAAGUAACUAUGCACGUCUUGACGGUACCUAAUAAGAAAGCCACGGCUAACUACGUG